rfam:Salmo salar isolate Sally breed double haploid chromosome ssa19, whole genome shotgun sequence.
GCUCAGUUGGUAGAGCAUGGUGUUUGCAACGCCAGAGUUGUGGGUUCGAUUCCCAC